AGUAUCUAAAAAAAUGAUGUCAUCUGUGAUUUCUCUGAUUGGGUUAACGCAUAGUUCACAUCCAAAGAAAUAGAAGCUUUGAGCUACAUCUUUUGUCAUCUGUGGGCUAUUUGGCAAAAAAAAAUAUUCUGGUUUUUGAGAACAAAAGGCAAUCUCUGCAGCAAACUUCGGCAGUAGCAGAUUCUUUAUUUUAUCAGGAGGCUGACACAAAUUCUGAUCACAAUGAGUCCUCUCAAGAGGUAAAGUGGAUCCCUCCUCCGAAUUUCUGCAUAAAAGGAAACUUUGAUGUCUUCUUGAAAGAUAAAAGUGGAACAGGUUUUGGGGUAAUUUUUAGUGAUAAUUUCUGCUACUGAUUUUUGGGGCCCUGUGGAGAGUCUGUGGAGCAAAAUGAAUGCAAAGGGGGUUGCUCCUGUGAAUUCCACUUAUGGGACCUUGAUUAAUGCUUAUAGCAAAGGUGGACUCAAAGAGGAAGCACUAGCGCGGUUACAGAGGAUGCAGAGUCAAGGAAUGGAGCCUGAUGAGGUCACCAUGGGGAUUGUUGUACCUACGUUCACGACUACAUUAAGAGAAAUUUUAAUUACUUACACACUUUUGCAAGCUUACAAGGUGUCUCUAUAUGUAGCACUAACGAGACACAAAUUUUUACAAACCAAGCGAUGUGGGACAAAGGAACUAAAACUUCAAAACUCUAACAUUCUUGACUGAUAUAUUGAGUUAUAAUAAUGUUCUUGGCUUGUAUUCUAUGGAUAGGAGGCUAAGGGAAGGCUACAGAGACUUUCAAGGAAAUGAUAAAAUAUGACAUUCAACCAGAUGAUUUUACUUUCAGAGCUCUUGCAAACAUUUUGCUGAAUUAUGGAGUUUCAAAGCAGGCUGUUGGUAGGCUGGAAGUAAUGGUGGAAAGGGAUGCUCCUCGUGGUUUGCAAGCAUGGAUUUUGGCACUCUCAUGUGCAUAUGAAGGAGUUCAUUAUACAAAUGAGUAGUUGUGGUUAAUUAUGGUUGGAGCAUACAUAAGGUCAAAAAGCAUGAUUGGAGGCUUACCUACUCUGGCUUUCCUCUGGAGCUGGUUGUUUGCCUUUUUAUUGGCUACAUGGUUGAGGCUAUGAUUGGAGCAUUUCAAUCACAGUAUUUAGAAUUACUACUGGAUACUGGGACGGGAACAAGUUUUGACUUUUACGAGUAUUCUUGAUGGUCGGUGAUGGGAAUUGGAUUGUUGAAACCCCUUUGGAACUACAUGAACUGCUUUUUUCCCCUUUUUCUUCAUUUCAAGGACAAAAGUAAUUUAGAAUAUAUGAGGAAUGAGGAUUAAAAGAAAAUAAGAAAGAAUAUCUAGAAGUAUCGUCACAAUAGUGAAAUGCAUCUUAUGAAAAUUCAUCAGAGAUUUUCAAACUAAAAUCAUUUCAUAGAUUAUUUUGCCAAUGAAUGAAUUAUAUAUAAUUAUUGGUGGUUAGUAUUUGGAAUGCAUAUAUAUUUUUUUUCUUUAUAAUAUAAUAUGCGUGUGACUAACCAUGGAUAAUAUUAUUUUCUCGUCCUUUGGUUGCACAAUAUAUGGUUAUUCUCAGAUUUUUCUUAAGGAAUUGAUUUUUUUUAUAUUGUUAUCUUGACUUCAAUUUCAGGUGCUUGUCAACCACAUGGAGCUAUAUUUCUGUCCUCAAAAACUAAGAAAAGUGAUGCACUUAUCCACUAAUUGUAGUUCUUCAUGGGGGACCACAAUCUGUCUCAUUGUCAAGCUUUUCAAAGCCAUUGGCUUAUCUUUCUUCCCUUGGAUAUAGCUUGUUAAUUGUGAACUACAGGUAAAUGGUAUCCUAUUGGUGCUCAAACAUUUGAUCUAGGCUAUACAAUUUCAAUUCAUAAGUUUGAUGGGUUCUAUCAUAUUUCUGUUGAUUCUUUACGUAGGCUAUACAAUUUCAAUUCAUAAGUUUGAUGGGUUCUAUCAUAUUUCUGUUGAUUCUUUACGUAGUGUUAGAUUAAGAGAUGGAUUCUUAUUCUCACACUGAUCACUGAUGAUGAUGGAGAUAAGUGUUAGGAGACUUUUAGAGAUUCUGAACCUCGACCACACAUAACACAAACAUUGCGUGUGGUUCAACAAGUAUUGCAAAUGAACAGUAUUUUCAGACUAUCGAUUGAAUCAUUUGACUCCCUUAAUAUUAAUGCUAUUUGGGCAGAGUGUAUUUUAUAUUUGAAAAAAAAAGUGGAACAGACUGUAUUUGUCAUUGUUAUUUUUAUUUUUUUUUAAUAAAAAAAUUGAUUCAGGACGUCUUCUAGCUUUGGGUUAUGAAAAUAUAAUAAAACUCUCAUUGUUUAUAGUUAAUUUUCUUUGGCAUUGUGAACCAAGGAGGAUUGUUUUAUAGGCUGAUCUUCCAACUGUGGAAGACUCGCAAUGAUGGUAUUUUUAAGUGACAAUUCAUCAUCCCUAGUUCAUUCUCAACCAGGUUUGGCUCCUUCAUAGUUCGAUUAUUGCAACUUUGAAGUUGGGAACUCCUCAACGCCAAACUAUAGGCAUUACUUGGACUCCUCUUCCUGCGUCUAAAGUGAAGCUUAAUGUUGACAAGAGCUCCUUGGGUAACCUGGGACCUUCAGGAUUUGGCAUAUUAAUUCAUGAUUCUCAUGGUUCUUGGUUAGUUGGCUUUUUAGGAUACUGUUGAUAUACUACAAAUGUUAGUGUUGUACUUAAUGUUAUUUGCAAAGACAUAGAGUUGGCGUGAAACAUAGACUAUAGAAUGAUAGAGUGUGAAUUAGACUCUUGUUGAUUUAAACCUAAUUGAUCGACACAAUGUUGGCUUUCAUCGGAUGACAAUUAUCAUUAAUCUUAUUUGAUCUUUCA